rnacentral:rRNA from 1 species
AGUGAACGCUGGCGGCGUGCUUAAUACAUGCAAGUCGAACGAUGAAGUCCUAGCUUGCUAGGAUGGAUUAGUGGCGCACGGGUGAGUAAUAUAUAGUUAAUCUGCCUUGCACUGAGGAACAACAGUUGGAAACGAUUGCUAAUACCUCAUACUCCAACUUUACAUAAGUUAAGUUGGGAAAGUCUUUUCGGUGCAAGAUGAGACUAUAUCGUAUCAGCUAGUUGGUAAGGUAAUGGCUUACCAAGGCUAUGACGCGUAACUGGUCUGAGAGGAUGAUCAGUCACAUUGGAAAUGAGACACGGUCCAAACUCCUACGGGAGGCAGCAGUAAGGAAUAUUGUGCAAUGGGGGAAACCCUGACGCAGCAACGCCGCGUGGAGGAUGACACUUUUCGGAGCGUAAACUCCUUUUGUUAGGGAAGAAUAAUGACGGUACCUAACGAAUAAGCACCGGCUAACUCCGUG